GAUGAACGCUGGCGGCGUGCUUUACACAUGCAAGUCGAACGAACAGACGAGGAGCUUGCUGGCCGCACGUUAGCGGCGGACGGGUGAGUAACACGUGGAUAACCUACCUAUAAGACUGGGAUAACUUCGGCAAACCGGAGCUCAUAUCGGACAAGAUAUUGAACCGCAUGGUUCAAUAGUGAUAGACGGAUUUGCGGUGCCUAUUAGAUGGUUCCGCGCCGCAUUAGCUAGGUGGUACGGUAAAGGCUUACCAAGGCGACGAUGCGUAGCCGACCUGAGAGGGUGAUCGGCCACACUGGAACUGAGACACGGUCCAGACUCCUACGGGAGGCAGCAGUAGGGAAUCUUCGGCAAUGGGCGAAAGCCUGACGGAGCAACGCCGCGUGAGUGAUGAAGGUCUUCGGAUCGUAAAGCUCUGUUAUUGGGGAAGAACAGAUGUGUAAGUAACCAUGGGCGUCUUGACGGUACCUGAUCAAAAAGCCCCGGCUAACUACGUG
rnacentral:rRNA from 1 species